GAUGAACGCUGGCGGCGUGCCUAAUACAUGCAAGUCGAGCGAACAGACGAGGAGCUUGCUCCUCUGACGUUAGCGGCGGACGGGUGAGUAACACAUGGAUAACCUACCUAUAAGACGGGGAUAACUUCGGGAAACCGGAGCUAAUACCGGAGAAUAUAUUGAACCGCAGGGUUCAAGAGUGAAAGACGGUUUUGCUGUCACUUAUAGAUGGAUCCGCGCCGGAUUAGCUAGUUGGUAAGGUAACGGCUUACCAAGGCAACGAUGCGUAGCCGACCUGAGAGGCUGAUCGGCCACACUGGAACUGAGACACGGUCCAGACUCCUACGGGAGGCAGCAGUAGGGAAUCUUGCGCAAUGGGCGAAAGCCUGACGGAGCAACGCCGCGUGAGUGAUGAAGGUCUUCGGAUCGUAAAACUCUUUUAUUAGGGAAGAACAAAUGUGUAAGUAACUAUGCACGUCUUGACGGUACCUAAUCAGAAAGCCCCGGCUAACUACGUG
rnacentral:rRNA from 1 species